rnacentral:rRNA from 1 species
UUAGAGUUUGAUAGUGGCUCAGAUUGAACGCUGGCGGCAGGCCUAACACAUGCAAGUCGAACGGUAACAGGAAGCAGCUUGCUGCUUCGCUGACGAGUGGCGGACGGGUGAGUAAUGUCUGGGAAACUGCCUGAUGGAGGGGGAUAACUACUGGAAACGGUAGCUAAUACCGCAUAACGUCGCAAGACCAAAGAGGGGGACCUUAGGGCCUCUUGCCAUCGGAUGUGCCCAGAUGGGAUUAGCUAGUAGGUGGGGUAACGGCUCACCUAGGCGACGAUCCCUAGCUGGUCUGAGAGGAUGACCAGCCACACUGGAACUGAGACACGGUCCAGACUCCUACGGGAGGCAGCAGUGGGGAAUAUUGCACAAUGGGCGCAAGCCUGAUGCAGCCAUGCCGCGUGUAUGAAGAAGGCCUUCGGGUUGUAAAGUACUUUCAGCGGGGAGGAAGGGAGUAAAGUUAAUACCUUUGCUCAUUGACGUUACCCGCAGAAGAAGCACCGGCUAACUCCGUGCCAGCAGCCGCGGUAAUACGGAGGGUGCAAGCGUUAAUCGGAAUUACUGGGCGUAAAGCGCACGCAGGCGGUUUGUUAAGUCAGAUGUGAAAUCCCCGGGCUCAACCUGGGAACUGCAUCUGAUACUGGCAAGCUUGAGUCUCGUAGAGGGGGGUAGAAUUCCAGGUGUAGCGGUGAAAUGCGUAGAGAUCUGGAGGAAUACCGGUGGCGAAGGCGGCCCCCUGGACGAAGACUGACGCUCAGGUGCGAAAGCGUGGGGAGCAAACAGGAUUAGAUACCCUGGUAGUCCACGCCGUAAACGAUGUCGACUUGGAGGUUGUGCCCUUGAGGCGUGGCUUCCGGAGCUAACGCGUUAAGUCGACCGCCUGGGGAGUACGGCCGCAAGGUUAAAACUCAAAUGAAUUGACGGGGGCCCGCACAAGCGGUGGAGCAUGUGGUUUAAUUCGAUGCAACGCGAAGAACCUUACCUGGUCUUGACAUCCACGGAAGUUUUCAGAGAUGAGAAUGUGCCUUCGGGAACCGUGAGACAGGUGCUGCAUGGCUGUCGUCAGCUCGUGUUGUGAAAUGUUGGGUUAAGUCCCGCAACGAGCGCAACCCUUAUCCUUUGUUGCCAGCGGUCCGGCCGGGAACUCAAAGGAGACUGCCAGUGAUAAACUGGAGGAAGGUGGGGAUGACGUCAAGUCAUCAUGGCCCUUACGACCAGGGCUACACACGUGCUACAAUGGCGCAUACAAAGAGAAGCGACCUCGCGAGAGCAAGCGGACCUCAUAAAGUGCGUCGUAGUCCGGAUUGGAGUCUGCAACUCGACUCCAUGAAGUCGGAAUCGCUAGUAAUCGUGGAUCAGAAUGCCACGGUGAAUACGUUCCCGGGCCUUGUACACACCGCCCGUCACACCAUGGGAGUGGGUUGCAAAAGAAGUAGGUAGCUUAACCUUCGGGAGGGCGCUUACCACUUUGUGAUUCAUGACUGGGGUGAAGUCGUAACAAGGUAACCGUAGGGGAACCUGCGGUUGGAUCACCUCCUUU